GUCCCAGCCGCCGCGGUAAUACGGAGGAUGCAAGCGUUAUCCGGAUUCAUUGGGUUUAAAGGGUGCGCAGGCGGAUUGGUAAGUCAGGGGUGAAAUCCCACAGCUCAACUGUGGAACUGCCUUUGAUACUGUCAGUCUAGAGUAUAGUUGAAGUUGGCGGAAUGUGUCAUGUAGCGGUGAAAUGCUUAGAUAUGACACAGAACACCGAUCGCGAAGGCAGCUAGCUAAGCUAUAACUGACGCUCAUGCACGAAAGCGUGGGGAUCAAACAGGAUUAGAUACCCUGGUAGUCCACGCUGUAAACGAUGAUUACUCGAUGUUGGCGAUACACAGUCAGCGUCUGAGCGAAAGCAAUAAGUAAUCCACCUGGGGAGUACGAUCGCAAGAUUGAAACUCAAAGGAAUUGACGGGGGCCCGCACAAGCGGAGGAGCAUGUGGUUUAAUUCGAUGAUACGCGAGGAACCUUACCUGGGCUCGAACGUAAGAUGACUGUAGGUGAAAGCUUACAUCUCUUCGGAGCAUUUUACGAGGUGCUGCAUGGUUGUCGUCAGCUCGUGCCGUGAGGUGUCGGGUUAAGUCCCAUAACGAGCGCAACCCCUACCUUUAGUUGCCAUCAGGUCAUGCUGGGGACUCUAAAGGAACUGCCUACGCAAGUAGUGAGGAAGGCGGGGAUGACGUCAAAUCAGCACGGCCCUUACGUCCAGGGCUACACACGUGCUACAAUGGCCGAUACAGAGGGCAGCUACCUGGUGACAGGAUGCAAAUCUCCAAAGUCGGUCUCAGUUCGGAUCGGAGUCUGCAACCCGACUCCGUGAAGUUGNAUUCGCUAGUAAUCGCGCAUCAGCCAUGGCGCGGUGAAUACGUUCCCGGGCNUUGUACACACCGCCCGUCAAGCCAUNA
rnacentral:rRNA from 1 species